rnacentral:rRNA from 1 species
AGUGAACGCUGGCGGUAGGCCUAACACAUGCAAGUCGAACGGCAGCACAGUAAGAGCUUGCUCUUACGGGUGGCGAGUGGCGGACGGGUGAGGAAUACAUCGGAAUCUACUUUUUCGUGGGGGAUAACGUAGGGAAACUUACGCUAAUACCGCAUACGACCUACGGGUGAAAGCAGGGGAUCUUCGGACCUUGCGCGAUUGAAUGAGCCGAUGUGGGAUUAGCUAGUUGGCGGGGUAAAGGCCCACCAAGGCGACGAUCCGUAGCUGGUCUGAGAGGAUGAUCAGCCACACUGGAACUGAGACACGGUCCAGACUCCUGCGGGAGGCAGCAGUGGGGAAUAUUGGACAAUGGGCGCAAGCCUGAUCCAGCCAUACCGCGUGGGUGAAGAAGGCCUUCGGGUUGUAAAGCCCUUUUGUUGGGAAAGAAAAGCAGCAGGUUAAUACCCCGCUGUUCUGACGGUACCCAAAGAAUAAGCACCGGCUAACUUCGUG